UACGUAGGGGGCAAGCGUUGUCCGGAUUCAUUGGGCGUAAAGAGCGUGUAGGCGGCCAGGUAGGUCGGUUGUGAAAACUGGAGGCUCAACCUUCAGAGGUCGACCGAAACCAUCUGGCUAGAGUCCGGGAGAGGAGAGUGGAAUUCCUGGUGUAGCGGUGAAAUGCGCAGAUAUCAGGAAGAACACCCGUGGCGAAAGCGGCUCACUGGACCGGAACUGACGCUGAGGCGCGAAAGCGUGGGGAGCAAACAGG
rnacentral:rRNA from 1 species